rnacentral:rRNA from 1 species
GGUAAUACGGAGGAUCCAAGCGUUAUCCGGAUUUAUUGGGUUUAAAGGGUGCGUAGGCGGUCCUAUAAGUCAGUGGUGAAAGACGGCAGCUUAACUGUCGCAGUGCCUUUGAUACUGUAGGACUUGAAUCUAUUUGAAGUGGGCGGAAUAAGACAAGUAGCGGUGAAAUGCAUAGAUAUGUCUUAGAACUCCGAUUGCGAAGGCAGCUCACUAAGUUAGUAUUGACGCUGAUGCACGAAAGCGUGGGGAUCAAACAGGAUUA